rnacentral:rRNA from 1 species
GACGGAGGAUGCAAGUGUUAUCCGGAAUCACUGGGCGUAAAGCGUCUGUAGGUGGUUUAAAAAGUCUACUGUUAAAGCUUGAAGCUUAACUUCAAAAAUGCCGUAGAAACUUUUAAACUUGAGUAUGGUAGGGGUAGAGGGAAUUUCCAGUGGAGCGGUGAAAUGCGUAGAUCUUGGAAAGACCACCAAUGGCGAAGGCACUCUACUGGGCCAUAACUGACACUAAGAGACGAAAGCCAGGGGAGCGAAUGGG